UGCCCCUUGGCUGAGUUGGUUACAGCGUCCGACUGUUAGUCACAGACAAGCAAUCGGAAGGUCGAGAGUUCGACCCUCUCAGGGGCAG